rnacentral:rRNA from 1 species
GUGGGGAAUCUUGCGCAAUGGGCGAAAGCCUGACGCAGCCAUGCCGCGUGAAUGAUGAAGGUCUUAGGAUUGUAAAAUUCUUUCACCGGGGACGAUAAUGACGGUACCCGGAGAAGAAGCUCCGGCUAACUUCGUGCCAGCAGCCGCGGUACUACGAAGGGGGCUAGCGUUGCUCGGAAUUACUGGGCGUAAAGGGCGCGUAGGCGGACAGCUUAGUCAGAGGUGAAAGCCCAGGGCUCAACCUUGGAAUUGCCUUUGAUACUGGCUGUCUUGAGUUUUGGAGAGGUGAGUGGAACUCCGGGUGUAGAGGUGAAAUUCGUAGAUAUUCGGAAGAACACCAGUGGCGAAGGCGACUCACUGGCCCAAUACUGACGCUGAGGCGCGAAAGCGUGGGGAGCAAACAGGAUUAGAUACCCGGGUAGUCC